GACGAACGCUGGCGGCGUGCUUAACACAUGCAAGUCGAGCGGUAAGGCCCUUUUGGGGGUACACGAGCGGCGAACGGGUGAGUAACACGUGGGUGACCUGCCCUCAGCUCUGGGAUAAGCCUGGGAAACUGGGUCUAAUACUGGAUAUGACCUUUCCUCGCAUGGGGUUGGGUGGAAAGUUUUUCGGCUGGGGAUGGGCCCGCGGCCUAUCAGCUUGUUGGUGGGGUGAUGGCCUACCAAGGCGACGACGGGUAGCCGGCCUGAGAGGGCGACCGGCCACACUGGGACUGAGACACGGCCCAGACUCCUACGGGAGGCAGCAGUGGGGAAUAUUGCGCAAUGGGCGGAAGCCUGACGCAGCGACGCCGCGUGGGG
rnacentral:rRNA from 1 species